rnacentral:rRNA from 1 species
GGCGGACGGGUGAGUAACGCGUGGGUAACCUGCCUUAUACAGGGGGAUAACAGUCAGAAAUGGCUGCUAAUACCGCAUAAGCGCACAGAGCUGCAUGGCUCAGUGUGAAAAACUCCGGUGGUAUAAGAUGGACCCGCGUUGGAUUAGCUUGUUGGUGGGGUAACGGCCUACCAAGGCGACGAUCCAUAGCCGGCCUGAGAGGGUGAACGGCCACAUUGGGACUGAGACACGGCCCAGACUCCUACGGGAGGCAGCAGUGGGGAAUAUUGCACAAUGGGGGAAACCCUGAUGCAGCGACGCCGCGUGAAGGAAGAAGUAUUUCGGUAUGUAAACUUCUAUCAGCAGGGAAGAUAGUGACGGUACCUGACUAAGAAGCCCCGGCUAACUACGUGCCAGCAGCCGCGGUAAUACGUAGGGGGCAAGCGUUAUCCGGAUUUACUGGGUGUAAAGGGAGCGUAGACGGUGUGGCAAGUCUGAUGUGAAAGGCAUGGGCUCAACCUGUGGACUGCAUUGGAAACUGUCAUACUUGAGUGCCGGAGGGGUAAGCGGAAUUCCUAGUGUAGCGGUGAAAUGCGUAGAUAUUAGGAGGAACACCAGUGGCGAAGGCGGCUUACUGGACGGUA